rnacentral:lncRNA from 1 species
AUGGAUUUUAUUGGUGCAAAUAAAUUGUACUCAGUACAAUACCAUGUUGAUGUUUUUCCCACAAUAUAUAUGCAUGUAUAUUUUCAGACUGGUCUUCUGAUUUUCGAAACCCUCACAACAUCCACAUCCACUCUUUUGCAGCCUUUUCUUCCCCUCUCUUCCUUUCUACACAGUUGCAUUGUUCCUGGGUUCUGUCUGUUGUUCCAGCCAAGUGAUAUUUGGAUGGAGAAGCUAAGGGCUAAAGCAGAAGCAUGUGAUGCAUGGGCAGAGAAUGAAGUUCCCAAAUGACGCUUUGAGAAAGAGGACAUUUUUCCAAAUUAACAGAAGGAGAGAGAGAAAACUCAGAGCUGGACUGAACCCCAAAUGUGGUGGUCAAGUUUCAUCAAGAUUCUAGCUGCGCAGAUCAAGAAUUACCAGGAUGUAAAAAGUUGUGUGGAGUCAAAGCUAUCAAGCACUCAACCACAGAUUCCUCAUCUGUCCAGGUUACCAGCAGUAUGUGAUAGUUGAAACUUUCCAAUACACUGGAGUCAGCUGAUGAAAGGCAAAUAUUGUAAAGAUCUUGUCCCAUUGUAGAACAGUGUUCACUAACUUUGUUUUUCUGCAUUUCUUGUGAAAUAAUAUUAUCCUACCUCCACCCCACACCAGAGGCAGCAUAAUCCUCUGUCCACAUACUGUACUGUAAAUUUCAAAAAGAUUGGAGUGUGCCACUGAUCAUACCUCAAAUGUUUAUGCAUGCUGUUUGAUCCCAGAAUACUGACUUAUGUCAUUAAUGGCUUGUGUCAUCCUCCUUUCCAGUUUCAGAAAUGGCAAGUGUUCAUCAUCUUAGCUACACUAAUCUAAUGCUUAAAGAAAAAAUAGAAAAGAACAAGGUAAAGCAGAACAGGACAUUGUAAAACCAGAUUCAGGAUGACUAUAAAAGGGACAAAAUAAAAUCAGUUAAAAAUUUUUUCCUUUUGUGUAU